GGGCCCGCCAGCCGCCUCGCCCGCGGGGCGCCGUGGGCUGGGAGGGGAGCCCUGUGAGGCUCAGCCUGACGGUCACCUCACCCGGUGCCCAGGAUCUUGCCGAAGAUGUCCGUGGGGCGUUGUGUCUCCGCCCGGGAGGCUGCGGGCGGGACGCGCUGGGCACCGGGGGGAGCUGGCGGCGGCGGCGGGCCGCUGGCUUCUGCCUCCAAACCGGCUGAGUUGGACUGUGUUGAAGUAUCUGUUCCCCCUGAAGGCACCAAGUGUCUAAAUAGCUGUUCUACAAAACCCGAGGCACUGAAUCACGCUGUGAAUAAUUAUCAUAAUGCUUCCAAAACAUGAGCGGGGAGACAUGAAAGGAAGUAUGUGAUAAUUAAUUAAUAUGAUGUUGGCACUCAGUGGUUGCAUCUGGUUUUCGAAACCGCAUGAUUUGGGUACGGACCAUGCAGCCUGUUGUGUGAAUCACGCUCGACUGCAAACAGGCAGCAGCUCUUCCUACACCCCCUCUGGCAGGCAGCGGGGCUAGAGCUGCUCUGCUGUGACUGUACCCAGCCUGGCAACAGUGGGAAAAUGGCCAGACACUCUGCAAGGCCAGCAAUGCUCUUACGGAUGAGAAGGAGGGGGGCACUCCGCCAUACAGCCAAAGAAAAUAGGGAGAACAAAUAAUCCUGAGUUAAGUCUGAUGAAAACAUAUUUUAAAUUCUGGAUACUUACUUAAGUAUUUGAAUAUGCAUCAAGGAGCCAAGAUGUGACCAUAUUUUUUAAAACACUGCUGGACACUUCUGUUGCCAUAUUUGUACUUGCUAGCCUGUGAAUCCAAUCCUUCAAUUUUACCAACAAUUUGCUUGUAUUAUCCUUACUCCUAUCUCAGCACUGAAGCAGAACAACUUUCAUACUUCCCUCUUUCUCCACAAGUUCUGUUUCCUAAAGUACAUGCUUUAGUCAGACAUUUCUCCCCUUCUACCUGAUACGUGCUCUUUGUAGAGGUACACUCAUCAGUUAGCUUCACACCCAAAUUCUAAAUGGCUUUUGUCUGCUUGGUGACUAACACUGGAUCCCUCAGGCAUGCAUCCAAAAAGAAAACCCCAUACCUGAUACCAUUUUCUAACUGUGGGAUGCUGUCAUGCAUGCCUUAAAAGCUGCAUGUACUGCCUUAGCCCUUUUUUUUUCCUUCUACUUUUUUCAAGCUUAAUUCCAACUCCCCGAAGUCUGUUUGCAGAAAAUUUGAGAAGAAGCAUGAGGUGCAUUGCCUUGUCAUUCGAACAGCUGGAGGAGACGGGGAGUGAUGAGUUAAGGUGUAAGAAGACUGCUAGAUCAGUGAACUGUGCCUUCUCUAGCCCAGUUACUCCCACUGAGAAGAAAUUCAUUUAUCUGCUUACUGGUCAAGCUCUGUUUUGAAGGCCUAUGUAAAUGCUAAAGUGUCCCAUAGACUCAGGCUGACUGGAGCUUCACUUCCGUAAGGGAAUCUCACUUGUGGAAUAUAAACAUCAUUAUUUUUUGCACAUAUCUUCAUAUAUUUGCCCACAUACUUUUUCAUAUAAAUGUUGUUUUGCACUUAUCUCUUUCAACAAAUAAAUCGUAACUCUCUGUAUUCAGUUAUAUAAUGUUACUAUUAUGUAAUGCAUAUGCCUGUAGAAAUCAUAAAUGCAGUACACAAAUAGCCUAGAAUACCACACAAUGCAAUGAAUUUAGAGAUCCAAAAUUUUUAAAAAAGAACAACGUAAAAAUCCAAGAAGGAGACUUGAAUACAUACUGGUACCCUUGCAGGUUUUAUUUGCAGACGUGUUUGAUCUUAUAUUUACUAUAUUCCUUUUGUGUCACGCCAAACAAGACAUACACAACAGCUUCUAGUUCAGCAACAAUAACCAAGCAGUAAUACUAAAUAUCAUCACAUAGAAUGCCUUCUAUUGAGGAGAAAACAAUAACAGCAGACUAGAUAAAGUUAUGGAACUGACACAAGAAAUACAGGAAUAGCAGGUAAAAAUUGGAGAAUUAAUUGGCCUUCUGUUUAUUAGUUGGUUAUAUUUAUCCUAUUUGAUGCAGUUGUUGAGAUUACCAGAGAAGAAAUGCUAAUAUCUCUCCCUUCGUUUUUGAAUCCAGCAGCAGUUUUACUUCAUCUUAACCAAAAAAGUUUUGGGCUUUGGUGCCUGCAUCUCACACCUUAUUGUAUAGGAUAUGAGAGACAAGGAUCUCCUAACUCCCUGAGUUCUUUCUUUACCUGUGUGACUCUUUGGUGAAAUAGUUUAGUAUUUGCUGACAUUACUGCAAAUAAAUUUCUUCCUAACCUUUAGAAAACCUCUGUAAAUAUUUGAAAAGUAGAUAUAUAUAUAUAGGGCCAGGUUUUGUUUUGCCUGUGAUACGAAGUGUUUCAAGGAAGGACUGGAAAGGAAAAGGAAAUAAUGGUUAUUUUUUCUCUCCCGAGGUCAAGCAAGGCUUGCAGACAGGGAAACCCAACAAUUGUUGAACAUACUCGUUGUGGUACUUGAAUAGCAGGGGAAGCAGACAAAGUCAGACAGAUAGCUCCAGUUCUUUGGUACUUAUUCAUGAAUGCCAAUGGGGAUGGACCUCGGAAGGUAAUGCAGUAACUUGGGUGCCAGCCAUUGGUAGUGAGAAAGGGCAGCAUCUGUGGAAAGGCAUCUUUCCAUGGAGUGGAACUGCCUUUUCCUUAAAGGACACUAUUUAGUAAACACAACCUAGCAGUCAGUUUAACACUUACUAAACAAGGGGCUGGCUCUGAAAACUGAAGCAAGGAGCGUAUCAGUGUUGACAAGCACUCUCAGCAAGAUCAGAAGGUGAAUAAUGGUUUGCAGGUUUGACCCAUAAAUAACGAGGCUGGGCUUAUUUAUUAACACAGAGUACAAAUCUCCUUUUGGCUGCAGGACUCCUCUCUUUCGGUAUGAUUUGUAGAUGCCAGUAGGUUUUUAUAGUUUUCUUUGUUUAAAUACCGUACCUCCUUUUAUUUACAAGAGUGUGGGUAUAAGUCAUUAUUACUGUCUUCAUGACACGAACUAAAAUCUUUGUGCCUUCAUGCAAGAGAAGAUAGCUGUUUUCUAUAACCUUAUUUCUCUCUUCAGGAGCAGUUCAUAUGAAAUGGAAGUUCAAGCAAUUAUGUCAUGAUAAUUUCAGUUAUUUCUCUAAAUUAAGAUCAUAAAAUUAUAGAAACACAGAAUAAUUUCAGUUGGGAGGAACCUCUGGAGUUCAUCUGCUCUAAUCCCUGCUCAAAGCAGGGCUAAGUUAGAUGAGGUUGCUCAGGCCAUUUUCCAGUCCAGUUCAGAAUAUCUCAGUGUGAUGAAACCACAACUUUCCCUGGUAACUUGUUCCGAUGUUUGACUGCUUUCAUAAAACAAACAAAAAAUCUGUGUAUCUAAUCGCAGUCUCCCUGUUGUAAAUUUAUAUUUGUUACCUCUUAUCCUACACCUACCUCUUGAAGAAGAAUUUGGCUCUGUCUUCUCUCUGUAUUCUCAUGAGGUUAGUUGAAGACAGCAGAAAAAUCUCCCUCCCCUCACCUUAACCUUGUCAUCUCAGUGAUGAACAAGCCAAUGUCUUUGAGCUUUUUGUCAUCUGUCAUGUGCCUGAGUCAGUUUAUCAUCAUGGUCAUUUUCUGAUGGAGUAACUCCAGUAUGUCAGUGUCUUUGUAACUCUGGGGAGCCCAAAACUGGAAGCAGUACUCCCAUCUUCAGCCUCACAAGUGAUGACUAGAAAGGAUCAAUCAGUGGUUACUGAUUAUUCCUUUGAAGACUGAAACUACCUUUAAGCAAACUGUUGCCAUGAAGGGUUAAAGACGGGCCAGUUCACCCUGGCCUGAGUGACAAGGCAGUCUCUGUUCCAAAGCAAGGGACUGUUCAGGAUAGCUGAGCAUCACAAUCAGGAGAAUUUAGCCCAAAGCUUUGCUGAUGGUGCAAGAGUCUGAAUAGGUUGCAGUUUGCUUUUUCACAACAGUAUGGGCUUUGCAGUGCUGACAAAGGUGAAAUCUUUUGCUAGUAAGCAAAUGAGAGUUGGGCGCAUUAGGGACUGCUACAAACAAAGAGGAAACAUAAGCAACAUCAUUUUUCUCACAGUACUUGUUGUUAAAGUAAUAAACAACAGACUGCUAAAAGUGAUACCAAUGUGAUUUUCUGGUUAAAUGAAAAUAAAUGAUUAUUGAACCUGCUCAGAUGCGUAGAGAUAAUUCUAAAUUAUAAUAUUGUAGGUGAAAUUCUGGGAUUUUAGAAAAAGUUAGAAAGCUUAAAUUGUCCAGCUUUAUAGAGAAGAAUGGCAGAUAGCAAAAUUCUGCCUUUUGUAUAAAUGACAGCUAUGGAGAAAAAAAAUGACGUCUAUUCCUGCAUUUUUACUCUAAUUCAGAUAAGGUGUCUGUGUGAAAGUUACAGUUCAGAAAGUGAGUCUAAAUUGGUGUAACUUGUAUGUUGGGUGAAUGAACAACUGGAGAUGUUGGGCAAUACCAGAAAUAAAGAAACAAAAAAUGUUUACAAGUUUCAAGAGAAGCCAAAAUAAAGCAUUUUUUACUUAAACGUUUCUUUGUUGCCAUUUGCAGUUCCAUCCAGAUCAAUGCCUUGAGAUAGCAGGCAGUUGUGUGCAAUCUUCCAGUUUUUUAUUUAGAGAACAGUCAUAGGUCUGCUUUUAGUAGGAAACAUCUCUCUCUGAAAAACCUACAAAGAUGCUGCUGAACCCUUUGAGUGUCUACACAGAGAGAAAGCUGCCUCUGGAGCUUUUGCUUGUUAGACCUGCAAUUUUCCACUCAUGGACUGUGUACUUCAACAUGUGUUAGGGUUUCCUUGCCUAAGGUGAGAACUUCCUUGGGACCCCCUUUUUUCACGGUGGCAAGAUUUUGCAACCAGGAGAGAUAUUGACUACUGGCUUCCAAAUCUUGUUUAUUUUGGAACAGUCUCAUCAUUUUCUUUGUGCUUUAAGCACUGUCUGAAACCCUCCACUUUCAACUCAAAUCACAAAAUGAACAACCUUUGUUCAGCAUCCCAAGCUGCAAAAUGAAACUUAAACAUGAGCAUUUAUAUCACCCGCAUAAAAAAGGUGAAAUAUGCUGUAUUUCUGCUCUUUGAAUGUUUUAUGGAACAGUAUUUAUGGGUGUCGCUGUAAGCGGUAGAAGCAAAUGCAACUGCCUGAGUAUUGUACACAGAUUUUACAGUGUAUAUAGUCUGUACUGUAAGCUGUCAUUGUUCUAGGAAAUACAUAGGUUGUGAUUACAAAGUAUGGAAUAAACCUUCUCUCAUCAAAACCACAGUUUUCAAGUUUGGAAUGUCCAAAUCAAUCAUACAAACUAUAUAUAGGGAUUUUAGUGUUUGAACAUUUGAAAACACUGAUGAAACAUGUAUGUUAAUAUUCCGUUCAGUACCAUAAUAGAAUUAGGACCACUGAUUCCACCCUGAGAUGUACCAUUUCAGACCAGUAUGGUCCUGGCUUUCUGUAGGUUCUUUGCAGGUUCACUGGUUGUCCUGUGAGCAUGAGAGGAUAAA